rnacentral:tRNA from 1 species
AAAGAAUUAGUUAAUAAAUAAUAAUUGAAUGUCAAUCUUUAGUAACUUAAUUUAGUAUUCUUUU